GACAGAGGGUGCAAACGUUGCUCGGAAUUACUGGGCGUAAAGCGUGCGUAGUCGGUUAUUUAAGUCGGGUGUGAAAGCCCCGGGCUCACCUGGGAAUUGCAUUCGAUACUGGAUAGCUAGAGUUCGGCAGAGGGAAGCGGAAUUUCCGGUGUAGCGGUGAAAUGCGUAGAUAUCUGGAGGAACACCGGUGGCGAAGGCGGCGUUCUGGACUGGCAACUGACACUGAUGAACGAAAGCCAGGGGAGCAAACGGG
rnacentral:rRNA from 1 species